AUAAAAAGAAAGCCGCGGAGCGGCAGGGAUUCAAAGCCACACACGGCCAGUCCCGAAAUACAAACAAGGCCAUUCAAGGCCGAAACAUAAAAACAUAAAAAAAAUCUCUCGCAAGAGAUCUAACCCAAGUCACCCUCAGAACUUACGCCCCCUCUUCACCCGCUGCCUCGUCCGAGCCUGGAGCCGCGUCACUUCCGUUCUCUCCGACCAUCGGGUCUUUCCCCUCUGGGUCUUCUGAACACGUCGGAAGGAAGCACGCGGAUUUCAGGUCGGCCAGGAUGAGAUCGAAAUCUCCAUCCUCGGCCGCCAUAUCUCCCUUGCAGCCGGACAGCCGGGCCUCUUCGGCCUCCAAGGUCGGGGGAGUCUCACUUUGGAACGACCGAACUACGGCCAUCCCGCCCUCAAUCGUCGCCAAAGCGAAAUCCCUG
rnacentral:lncRNA from 1 species